GCGGACGGGUGAGUAACACGUGGAUAACCUACCUAUAAGACUGGGAUAACUUCGGGAAACCGGAGCUAAUACCGGAUAACAUAUUGAACCGCAUGGUUCAAUAGUGAAAGGCGGCUUUGCUGUCACUUAUAGAUGGAUCCGCGCCGUAUUAGCUAGUUGGUAAGGUAACGGCUUACCAAGGCAACGAUACGUAGCCGACCUGAGAGGGUGAUCGGCCACACUGGAACUGAGACACGGUCCAGACUCCUACGGGAGGCAGCAGUAGGGAAUCUUCCGCAAUGGGCGAAAGCCUGACGGAGCAACGCCGCGUGAGUGAUGAAGGUCUUCGGAUCGUAAAACUCUGUUAUCAGGGAAGAACAAAUGUGUAAGUAACUGUGCACAUCUUGACGGUACCUGAUCAGAAAGCCACGGCUAACUACGUGCCAGCAGCCGCGGUAAUACGUAGGUGGCAAGCGUUAUCCGGAAUUAUUGGGCGUAAAGCGCGCGUAGGCGGUUUUUUAAGUCUGAUGUGAAAGCCCACGGCUCAACCGUGGAGGGUCAUUGGAAACUGGAAAACUUGAGUGCAGAAGAGGAAAGUGGAAUUCCAUGUGUAGCGGUGAAAUGCGCAGAGAUAUGGAGGAACACCAGUGGCGAAGGCGACUUUCUGGUCUGUAACUGACGCUGAUGUGCGAAAGCGUGGGGAUCAAACAGGAUUAGAUACCCUGGUAGUCCACGCC
rnacentral:rRNA from 2 species